ACAACAAAGCAUUGCUGAUACUACUACUACAAAAAAAGGUUCCCUAUGUUUUGAAACUAUAGGUGUUAAAUAAAUCUCAAGUAUUACCAAGAACUCAAAUGGGGUCAUUUAUACCAUGCAUGGCAGCCAAAGUAUAUGCAUUCACUACAUUAAUCAAUGAGGUUCCCUAUGUUUGACAACUAUGAGUGUAACUGUAUUUUAACAAUGUCACCCCAAAUUGUACCCUGCUGUUAGGUGUCUAUACAAGCAAGCAGAGACAAAGUAUGUUGCAUUCACCACAUUAAUCAAUGAGGUUCCCUAUGUUUGACAACUAUGAGUGUAACUGUAUUUUAACAAUGUCACCCCAAAUUGUACCCUGCUGUUAGGUGUCUAUACAAGCAAGCAGAGACAAAGUAUGUUGCAUUCACCACAUUAAUCAAUGAGGUUCCCUAUGUUUGACAACUAUGAGUGUAACUGUAUUAUAACAAUGUCACCC